GGAUGGUUCAUUCAAAUUUCUGCCCUAUCAACUUUCGAUUGUAGAGUAGUGGUCUACAAUGGUUUCAACGGGUAACGGGGAAUUAGGGUUCGACUCCGGAGAGGGAGCCUGAGAAACGGUACCACAUCCAAGGAAGGCAGCAGGCGCGCAAAAUUACCCAAUCCCGACACGGGGAGGUAGUGACAAUAAAUACUGAUACAGGGCUCUUUUGGGUCUUGUAAUUGGAAUGAGUACAAUUUAAAAUCCCUUAACGAGGAACAACUGGAGGGCAAGUCUGGUGCGCUGACGCCAGACAUAGCGGUAUACCCGCUAGUCGAGCGCCCCUUCACGGUGGGAGGGCGCCGGCAAGGUAACCCGGUACGGGGAAGUCCACAGCGGACAAUCCCGUGGCGAGUCCCAAGGGGGGCCGCCGUAACGCGCGCAAGGGUACCGGCCGUUUUCACGGUCGAGGGACGCGCCUAUUCCCGUGCGAUAGCACGGCUUCUCCCCAAGGCAACCACCGUGCGGGACGGGAGGGGGCUUUCUCUACGAAAGGCGGUCAAAUAGAAGGCCAGCAGCCGCGGUAAUUCCA
rnacentral:rRNA from 1 species